CAUCCUGCUCAGGAUGAACGCUAGCUACAGGCUUAACACAUGCAAGUCGAGGGGCAUCAGGAAGAAAGCUUGCUUUCUUUGCUGGCGACCGGUCGCACGGGUGAGUAACACGUAUCCAACCUGCCCUUUACUCGGGGAUAGCCUUUCGAAAGAAAGGAUUAAUACCCGAUAGUAUAAUGAUUCCGCAUGGUUACAUUAUAAAAGGAUUCCGGUAAAGGACGUGGAUGCGUUCCAUUAGGUUGUUGAUGAGGUAACGG
rnacentral:rRNA from 1 species